GCCAAGGUGGCGGAGAGGCUACGCGGUCGCCUGCAGAGCGACUUUUAUCCCGGUUCGAUUCCGGGCCUUGGCU
rfam:Methanoplanus limicola DSM 2279 chromosome, whole genome shotgun sequence.